rnacentral:pre_miRNA from 1 species
AGCCUUCUAUAUCCGUGAUGAGAUUUAGUAACACACCAGACCACAAGGGCUGAUGAGACUUCCAAGAUAGGUGAAGCG